rnacentral:rRNA from 1 species
AUUGAACGCUGGCGGCAUGCUUUACACAUGCAAGUCGAACGGUAACAGGUUAAGCUGACGAGUGGCGAACGGGUGAGUAAUGCAUCGGAACGUGCCCGGUCGUGGGGGAUAACGCAGCGAAAGCUGCGCUAAUACCGCAUACGAUCUGAGGAUGAAAGCGGGGGACCGUAAGGCCUCGCGCGAUCGGAGCGGCCGAUGUCAGAUUAGGUAGUUGGUGGGGUAAAGGCUCACCAAGCCGACGAUCUGUAGCUGGUCUGAGAGGACGACCAGCCACACUGGGACUGAGACACGGCCCAGACUCCUACGGGAGGCAGCAGUGGGGAAUUUUGGACAAUGGGCGCAAGCCUGAUCCAGCAAUGCCGCGUGCAGGAAGAAGGCCUUCGGGUUGUAACUGCUUUUGUACGGAGCGAAAAGGCUCUCUCUAAUACGGAGGGCUCAUGACGGUACCGUAAGAAUAAGCACCGGCUAACUACGUGCCAGCCGCCGCGGUAA